CGUGUAGGCGGUCAGGUAAGUGGAAUGUGAAAUGCCCCGGCUCACCCGGGGACCGGCAUCCCAAACUGCCUGGCUUGAGUAUGGGAGAGGAUGAAAGAAUUCCUGGUGUAGCGGUGAAAUGCGUAGAUAUCAGGAGGAACACCGGUGGCGAAGGCGUCCAUCUGGCCCAAUACUGACGCUGAGGCGCAAAAGCUAGGGGAGCAAACGG
rnacentral:rRNA from 1 species